AGUUUUCAUAUAUAUUUGUUCCAUAUGAGACUUCCAAAAAAAAUAAGGAGUGCCAGCUCCAAGGGAAAUGAAGGAGCCCUGUGGGUGAUCAUGUUGACAGAAGAACUAACAGCUGGCAGAGGUGAAAGCAGCGGUGAAAGGAAUUAGCACACAAUGAAGAAAGAAGGAACAUAAAAAAUUACGUAUAUCACAGAGGAUCCUGGAAGACUACAAAAUAUAAACAUGCAACCUGACAGUCAUAUUAGGGAAGAUAUACAUUUCACUUAACCUGGGAUUUCAGGUAGGCAGCCCAAUAUACGUCAAGUAGAAGCAGACAGUCUCUAAAUUUAGAAAACCAAGAGGGGCAGGCAAUGGCCUACACCUAUAGUUGGGUCCCGGAUGCUGCAGUGAGCAAUGUGGGCAACAGGAUCUCAGAGCGAGCCCAAAGAAACACAUGACAUGUACUGGGAGGUGAACACCCAACAUCACAUAGCUG
rnacentral:lncRNA from 1 species